ACUGCAGUGGUGAGAAACCAGGACUCUUAUUUUGAAAACUGAAAGGAGGAGCUGUGUGCGCGCCUGCGCCCUUACAUCUGCAGAGCGUUUGGUGUGUCGUUACACGGAUUUUUCCUCAUCAAAUUUUCAUUUUAUUUUGCAGAUCAAUGGACAACUUUGUCAUUAACACUUUGACAGACCUUGUGACUUGUCUAAAGAUUUGAUAUUAGAGCACCAAGGAAAAGGACAAUGGAGCACGAGGAGGCUCCUUCGACCUCCAGACAGUUGAAGUUGAGAGAAACCAAGCUAGUCACACAGAAGAAUGUUGAUCAUGCCGUGUUGAAUUGUGUGACCCAGAGUCUACAACCCUUUAGUGAUCUUCAGCCUAAUGCCUCUCUCAUAUCAAGGAGCACUCUGUGACGUAAGAUGGAUGAGGCAGUACUUGAAAUGAAGAAAAAUAUAAAAAAGCAAUGUCAGGGAUCGAUUUCAUUGCAACCACAACAGGCAGCUCAGAGGUGAUGAUGCUGAGGUCACCUUACUUGAUAUAUUUUAUUCAUUUAUUUAUUUUUUUACCAAGUAUCACCAGUUUCAUGUGAAGCAGUAUAGAGUUAAUAAUACACAAAUACUGACAAUUACAUGUAAAAGCAUUACUAAAUAUUGUUCCUGACAGUGUGGGGAAAUUCAUAACUGAAAUAGUAUUAUAUACCCCUUCUAUAUGCAGUUGUGACUGGCAAGUGCGUUUCUUCUGAUCACAAACACUAGUUCCUAUUACAGUGAAUCUGAUAUGGCCAGUUUAUAUUUAUACACAGACACAUUCAGAUAUGAUAUAGUAAAGGAAAACUCAUGUUAACCUGUGUUUUGCAAGUUUAAGUUUAAAUAAAAACUUGGAUAACUGUUACAAAUAAAUGUUAAACUGAAACUA